CCUACGGGAGGCAGCAGUGAGGAAUAUUGGUCAAUGGACGAGAGUCUGAACCAGCCACGUAGCGUGAACGAUGACUGCCCUAUGAGUUGUAAACUUCUUUUAUAUGGGAAUAAAAUGUUCCACGUGUGGGAUUUUGUAUGUACCAUAUUAUUAAAGAUCGGCUAAGUCCGUGCUCGCGGACGCGUUCAUACGGAGGAUCCGAGGGUUAUCCGGAUGUAUUGGGGUUAAAGGGAGCGUAUGUGGAUUGGUAAGUCAGUUGGGAAAGUGUGGGGCUUAACCGUAAAAUUGCAGUUGAAACUGGCAGUCUUGAGUACAGUAGAGGUGGGCGGAAUUCGUGGUGUAGCGGUGAAAUGCUUAGAUAUAAAGAAGAACUCCGAGUGCGAAGGCAGCUCACUGGACUGCAACUGACACUGAGGCUCGAAAGUGUGGGUAUCAAACAGGAUUAGAUACCCUGGUAGUC
rnacentral:rRNA from 1 species